GAUGAACGCUGGCGGCGUGCCUAAUACAUGCAAGUCGAGCGAACGGACGAGAAGCUUGCUUCUCUGAUGUUAGCGGCGGACGGGUGAGUAACACGUGGAUAACCUACCUAUAAGACUGGGAUAACUUCGGGAAACCGGAGCUAAUACCGGAUAAUAUUUUGAACCGCAUGGUUCAAAAGUGAAAGACGGUCUUGCUGUCACUUAUAGAUGGAUCCGCGCUGCAUUAGCUAGUUGGUAAGGUAACGGCUUACCAAGGCAACGAUGCAUAGCCGACCUGAGAGGGUGAUCGGCCACACUGGAACUGAGACACGGUCCAGACUCCUACGGGAGGCAGCAGUAGGGAAUCUUCCGCAAUGGGCGAAAGCCUGACGGAGCAACGCCGCGUGAGUGAUGAAGGUCUUCGGAUCGUAAAACUCUGUUAUUAGGGAAGAACAUAUGUGUAAGUAACUGUGCACAUCUUGACGGUACCUAAUCAGAAAGCCACGGCUAACUACGUGCCAGCAGCCGCGGUAAUACGUAGGUGGCAAGCGUUAUCCGGAAUUAUUGGGCGUAAAGCGCGCGUAGGCGGUUUUUUAAGUCUGAUGUGAAAGCCCACGGCUCAACCGUGGAGGGUCAUUGGAAACUGGAAAACUUGAGUGCAGAAGAGGAAAGUGGAAUUCCAUGUGUAGCGGUGAAAUGCGCAGAGAUAUGGAGGAACACCAGUGGCGAAGGCGACUUUCUGGUCUGUAACUGACGCUGAUGUGCGAAAGCGUGGGGAUCAAACAGGAUUAGAUACCCUGGUAGUCCACGCCGUAAACGAUGAGUACUAAGUGUUAGGGGGUUUCCGCCCCUUAGUGCUGCAGCUAACGCAUUAAGCACUCCGCCUGGGGAGUACGACCGCAAGGUUGAAACUCAAAGGAAUUGACGGGGACCCGCACAAGCGGUGGAGCAUGUGGUUUAAUUCGAAGCAACGCGAAGAACCUUACCAAAUCUUGACAUCCUUUGACAACUCUAGAGAUAGAGCCUUCCCCUUCGGGGGACAAAGUGACAGGUGGUGCAUGGUUGUCGUCAGCUCGUGUCGUGAGAUGUUGGGUUAAGUCCCGCAACGAGCGCAACCCUUAAGCUUAGUUGCCAUCAUUAAGUUGGGCACUCUAAGUUGACUGCCGGUGACAAACCGGAGGAAGGUGGGGAUGACGUCAAAUCAUCAUGCCCCUUAUGAUUUGGGCUACACACGUGCUACAAUGGACAAUACAAAGGGCAGCGAAACCGCGAGGUCAAGCAAAUCCCAUAAAGUUGUUCUCAGUUCGGAUUGUAGUCUGCAACUCGACUACAUGAAGCUGGAAUCGCUAGUAAUCGUAGAUCAGCAUGCUACGGUGAAUACGUUCCCGGGUCU
rnacentral:rRNA from 1 species